CGAAGCCCCAGUAAACGGCGGCCGUAACUAUAACGGUCCUAAGGUAGCGAAAUUCCUUGUGGGGUAAGUUCCCACGCGCACGAAUGGUGUAACAACUGGAGCGCUGUCUCAACGAGGGACUCGGCGAAAUUGUGGUGACAGUGAAGACGCUGUCUACCCGCACUUGGACGAAAAGACCCCGGAACCUUUACUCUACUCUGGUAUUGAAUUUUGAUCCGAUAUGUGUAGGAUAGGUGGGAGACUUUGAAGCCUGGGCGCUAGCUCGGGCAGAGUCGUCGGUGAAAUACCACCCUUAUUUUAUUAAGAUUCUAACCCCUUGCCGUGAAUCCGGCAGGGGAACAGUGCCAGACGGGGAGUUUGACUGGGGCGGUUUCCUCCUAAAAGAUAACGGCGGAGCCCAAUGCUAACCUCAAGACGGUCGGCAAUCGUCUGUCGAGUGUAAAGGCAUAUGGUUGGUUAACUGUGAUCCCGACAGGGAGAACAGGUGCGAAAGCAGGGCUUAAUGAUCCGGUACUUGUUUGUGGGAAUGGUAUCGCUCAACGAAUAAAAGGUACUCUGGGGAUAACAGGCUUAUCGCGCUCGAGAGUUCAUAUCGACAGCGCGGUUUGGCACCUCGAUGUCGGCUCAUCCUAUCCUGGGGCUGGAGAAGGUCCCAAGGGUCCGGCUGUUCGCCGGUUAAAAGGGUACGUGAGUUGGGUUCAGAACGUCGUGAGACAGUAAGACCAUUGCUGUCUAUAAACUUGGCUAAAUGCUGGAAAAUCUGAGUAUAUCAUAUUACUAUUUGAUGUUUCUGUCCUUAUAUUGCGAGAUGGAUAGAGAGAUCGGAAGUGAAAAGAUAUGAUUGCAGACAAUCAGCAGGAAAGACCAGGAGAAUCACUAUCGUUCUAUAUCGCGGGUUUUGUUGAUGGAGAGGGUAGUUUUCAUGUAGCGGUUCAGAAAAGCGAAAAUGUGAGGCUUGGUUGGCAAGUGAUACCUGAGUUUCAUGUGUCGCAGAAUCAUGAACGGACUGUUACACUAGAGAUUAUCCGUAAAGUUUUAGAUUGCGGCUAUAUAAAGCCUAAUCAUAAAACUAGAGAAAACGAUCGAACAGAUGUUUUGGUUGUUCGUAAUCAUCAAGACCUCAAAGAUAAAGUAAUCCCAUUUUUUAGACGGUAUAAAUUAUUAUCCUCUAAAAAUGGUGAUUUUGAGAAAUUUGCUGUGAUAGUUGAAUUUAUGGAUCAAGGCAAGCAUCUUGAAACGUCAGGUUUUAAAAAUAUCCUGAAGAUCGCUUUUUCAAUGAAUGGUAACGGCAGAUAUGGAAAAUUAUUGUUUAAUGAUAUUGUGAGUUCUUUGGUUUCCUCAGAGACUAUACGCCAGGCUUCGAGAAAAAUAUCGGAGAAGAUAUAGUCCGAACUGCAUAGCGAUAUGCAGAGCUCAACAGAAAUGUUUGAGCCUUUCGUAAUAUGCGGAAGUAACAAAAUUGUCGGUCUCUAUCCAGUGUGGGCGUUAGGAAGUUUGAAGGGAGUUGUCCUUAGUACGAGAGGACCAGGACAAACGAACCUCUGGUGUUCCAGCUGUCCUGCCAAGGGCAAAGGCUGGGUAGUCAUGUUCGGAAGAGAUAAGCGCUGAAGGCAUAUAAGCGCCAAGCUCGCCUUAAGAAUAGACUUCCCUCUUGUAGCAAUACAAGAAUAGACACCCGGAAGACUACCGGGUUGAUAGGUCCUAAGUGUAAGACCCGUAAGGGUUUCAGCUUAAAGGAUACUAAUUGUCAAUCGGCUUGACCG
rnacentral:rRNA from 1 species